GGGGGAUAUUGCACAAUGGGGGAAACCCUGAUGCAGCGACGCCGCGUGGAGGAAGAAGGUUUUCGGAUUGUAAACUCCUGUCGUUAGGGACGAUAAUGACGGUACCUAACAAGAAAGCACCGGCUAACUACGUGCCAGCAGCCGCGGUAAAACGUAGGGUGCAAGCGUUGUCCGGAAUUACUGGGUGUAAAGGGAGCGCAGGCGGGAAGACAAGUUGGAAGUGAAAACCAUGGGCUCAACCCAUGAAUUGCUUUCAAAACUGUUUUUCUUGAGUAGUGCAGAGGUAGAUGGAAUUCCCGGUGUAGCGGUGGAAUGCGUAGAUAUCGGGAGGAACACCAGUGGCGAAGGCGGUCUACUGGGCACCAACUGACGCUGAGGCUCGAAAGCAUGGGUAGCAAACAGGAUUAGAUACCCUGGUAGUCCAUGCCGUAAACGAUGAUUACUAGGUGUUGGGGGAUUGACCCCCUCAGUGCCGCAGUUAACACAAUAAGUAAUCCACCUGGGGAGUACGACCGCAAGGUUGAAACUCAAAGGAAUUGACGGGGGCCCGCACAAGCAGUGGAGUAUGUGGUUUAAUUCGAAGCAACGCGAAGAACCUUACCAGGUCUUGACAUCCGAUGCAUAACACAGAGAUGUGUGAAAUCCUUCGGGACAUCGAGACAGGUGGUGCAUGGUUGUCGUCAGCUCGUGUCGUGAGAUGUUGGGUUAAGUCCCGCAACGAGCGCAACCCUUAUUGCCAGUUACUACGUUAAGAGGACUCUGGCGAGACUGCCGUUGACAAAACGGAGGAAGGUGGGGAUGACGUCAAAUCAUCAUGCCCUUUAUGACCUGGGCUACACACGUACUACAAUGGCGUUAAACAAAGAGAAGCAAGACCGCGAGGUGGAGCAAAACUCAAAAACAACGUCUCAGUUCAGAUUGCAGGCUGCAACUCGCCUGCAUGAAGUCGGAAUCGCUAGUAAUCGCAGAUCAGAAUGCUGCGGUGAAUACGUUCCCG
rnacentral:rRNA from 1 species